rnacentral:rRNA from 1 species
AUUGAACGCUGGCGGCAUGCUUUACACAUGCAAGUCGAACGGUAACAGGCCGCCAGGUGCUGACGAGUGGCGAACGGGUGAGUAAUGCAUCGGAACGUGCCCAGUCUUGGGGGAUAACUACUCGAAAGAGUAGCUAAUACCGCAUACGAUCUAUGGAUGACAGCGGGGGACCGUAAGGCCUCGCCCGAUUGGAGCGGCCGAUGUCAGAUUAGGUAGUUGGUGGGGUAAAGGCUCACCAAGCCAACGAUCUGUAGCUGGUCUGAGAGGACGACCAGCCACACUGGGACUGAGACACGGCCCAGACUCCUACGGGAGGCAGCAGUGGGGAAUUUUGGACAAUGGGCGAAAGCCUGAUCCAGCAAUGCCGCGUGCAGGAAGAAGGCCUUCGGGUUGUAAACUGCUUUUGUACGGAACGAAACGGCUCUGGUUAAUACCCGGGGCUAAUGACGGUACCGUAAGAAUAAGCACCGGCUAACUACGUG